ensembl:snRNA LOC120097663 U6 spliceosomal RNA
AGAGCUUCAGGAGUCUAUGGACUAAAACUGGAAUUAGCCAGAGAAAUUAGCAUGGCCCCUAGUCAAACAUGAUACAUAAGUCCAUGAAUUGUUCCAUAUUUAA